rnacentral:rRNA from 1 species
GAUGAACGCUGGCGGCGUGCCUAAUACAUGCAAGUCGAGCGAACAGACGAGGAGCUUGCUCCUCUGACGUUAGCGGCGGACGGGUGAGUAACACGUGGACAACCUACCUAUAAGACUGGGAUAACUUCGGGAAACCGGAGCUAAUACCGGAUAAUAUAUUGACCCGCAUGGUUCAAUAGUGAAAGACGGUUUUGCUGUCACUUAUAGAUGGAUCCGCGCCGCAUGAGCUAGUUGGUAAGGUAACGGCUUACCAAGGCAACGAUGCGUAGCCGACCCGAGAGGGUGGACGGCCACACGGGAAGUGAGGCACGGCCCAGACACCGGCGGGAGGCAGCAGUAGGGAAUCCUCCGCAAUGGGGGAAAGCCGGACGGAGCAACGCCGGGUGAGGGAUGAAGGUGUUCGGAUCGGAGAACUCUGUUAUUAGGAGGGAACAAAUGUGUAAGUAACUAUGCACGUCUUGACGGUACCUGGUCAGAAAGCCACGGCUAACUACGUG